CCUUUUACUAAAGAUUUCCGUGG
rnacentral:piRNA from 2 species